rnacentral:rRNA from 1 species
AUUGAACGCUGGCGGCAUGCCUUACACAUGCAAGUCGAACGGCAGCACGGGUGCUUGCACCUGUGGCGAGUGGCGAACGGGUGAGUAAUACAUCGGAACGUACCUUAUCGUGGGGGAUAACGCAGCGAAAGCUGUGCUAAUACCGCAUACGCCCUGAGGGGGAAAGCGGGGGAUCGAAAGACCUCGCGCGAUUAGAGCGGCCGAUGCCUGAUUAGCUUGUUGGUGGGGUAAAAGCCCACCAAGGCGACGAUCAGUAGCUGGUCUGAGAGGACGAUCAGCAACACUGGGACUGAGACACGGCCCAGACUCCUACGGGAGGCAGCAGUGGGGAAUUUUGGACAAUGGGGGCAACCCUGAUCCAGCAAUGCCGCGUGAGUGAAGAAGGCCUUCGGGUUGUAAAGCUCUUUUGUCAGGGAAGAAACACCGGCUCUAACACAGUCCGGGAAUGACGGUACCUGAAGAAUAAGCACCGGCUAACUACGUGCCAGCAGCCGCGGUAA